rnacentral:lncRNA from 1 species
CCAAUCAUCUUCUUUUUUUUUUCUUCUUCUUCUCCCAAAAGCCCUGCACUAAGUAGUUGUAUAUUCUAGUUGUAGGUCCCUCUGGUUGUGCCAUGUGGGACACCGCCUCAGCAUGGCCUGACGAGUGGUGCCAUGUCUACGCCGAGGAUCCCAAUCGGGGAAAACCUGAGCUGCCAAAGCAGAGCGCACGAACUUCACCACUCCGUCAUGGGGCCAGCCCCCAAGGGCAGUUCUGAUUGGAUAUCUUAAUGAAUCUUAUCUAGAAAAGGCGACGAAUAGAAAGAGGCUAAAGAGUGGAAGAGAAGUCCCCAUGAACGGAAGGUGAAGCACUUCCAUUUUGUCCUCACCACAAACGUCUCCAGUGUGUAAAGUCAUUACUCCCAGCUCACAGGAGAAGAAACCCAAGCUUAGGACGGUCAAGGAGCUUGUCCACAGACGCACGGCCAAUGGUCCGACCUGGAGCCUGUGCUCUCAGCCUCUCCCCCAGCUUCCCUCUCUCCUUGAGCUUCUCAAGGCCUUCACUUGCUUAUCUGAAACCUGGGAAGAAAGCUGGCACCUUCUUCCCUCCGGUGGCCUGCGGCUCAGCCGGCGGGAUGCGCUGUUGGCUGUGAGCGGCCUUGCAGAGACGGGGGCAUCCUCCCUGCUGUGGCUUCGAGGGCAGCGUCAUCACAAAGGCCCUUAGCACGGACGCUUGAGAAAGGCUGAUUCCAGCGCGAAGUGAGGACAGUCUCUCCACAGCAAGUGCUCCUGAGAGAGCUGGGCUCCCUCUGAGGUGGGAAGCCG